rnacentral:lncRNA from 1 species
CUAGAUUGAUCGUCUUUUGUCUUACCUUGUCUUAAACCCUCAAUGAUUUUGAGAUGCCCUUUAAUAGUAGUUAACUUUUGACCAUUACUGGUCAUCACAUCAUCUUUCUUUGUCUUCUUUUCAUCCUCAGCUUUUGUUGCUAUCUUCUUUGAGUCUGAGGCUUUUGGUUUAAUUAUCUCCAUCUUUCUCUCUAUGGUGGAACCUUAUCAACCUUUUACUUUUUCUUUCGGUAGUGGUUAUUUGCAGAUUGUAUAUAAACUGAGAGCUAUAGAGUUGGAGUGUUUGGUGAAGAAUGAAACGCGUAGCGAAAUAAAUUGUCUAUGUUUGAGACUUCAACUGCACACGGUCUCUUCAUAUGUCAUACGUUGCAAUUAAUACCCUCU